UACGUAGGCAGCGAGCGUUGUUCGGAGUUACUGGGCGUAAAGCGUGCGUAGACGGUUAUGUAAGUCGGAUGUGAAAGCCCCGGGCUCAACCUGGGAAUUGCAUUCGAGACUGCAUAGCUAGGAUGCGGAAGAGGGAAGUGGAAUUUCCGGUGUAGCGGUGAAAUGCGUAGAUAUCGGAAGGAACAUCAGUGGCGAAAGCGACUUCCUGGUCCAGCAUCGACGUCAGGCACGAAAGCGUGGGGAGCAAACAGG
rnacentral:rRNA from 1 species